CCUACGGGGGGCUGCAGUCGAGGAUCUUCGGCAAUGGGCGCAAGCCUGACCGAGCGACGCCGCGUGCGGGAUGAAGGCCUUCGGGUUGUAAACCGCUGUCGGAGGGGAGGAAAUAUUAGGGGGUUCUCCCCCUAGUUUGACCUAUCCUCGGAGGAAGUACGGGCUAAGUUCGUGCCAGCAGCCGCGGUAAGACGAACCGUACGAACGUUAUUCGGAAUCACUGGGCUUAAAGGGUGCGUAGGCGGCGCAGAAAGUUGGGUGUGAAAUCCCUCGGC
rnacentral:rRNA from 1 species